UACGUAGGGGGCGAGCGUUGUCCGGAAUCAUUGGGCGUAAAGCGCGUGUAGGCGGCUCGUUAAGUCCGGUGUGAAACCUUGGGGCUCAACCCCAAGCCUGCACUGGAUACUGACGAGCUCGAGUCCGGGAGGGAGAGCGGAAGUCCUAGUGGUAGCGGGUGAAAUGCGCAGAUAUUAGGAAGAACACCGGUGGCGAAGGCGGCUCUCUGGAACGGUACUGGA
rnacentral:rRNA from 1 species